GUGAGGAAUAUUGGUCAAUGGACGAGAGUCUGAACCAGCCAAGUCGCGUGAAGGAAGACGGUUCUAUGAAUUGUAAACUUCUUUUGUGCAGGAAUAAAGUGGGUUACGUGUAACCUUUUGUAUGUACUGUACGAAUAAGGAUCGGCUAACUCCGUGCCAGCAGCCGCGGUAAUACGGAGGAUCCGAGCGUUAUCCGGAUUUAUUGGGUUUAAAGGGUGCGUAGGUGGAUUGAUAAGUCAGCGGUGAAAGUUUGCAGCUUAACUGUAAAAUUGCCGUUGAAACUGUCGGUCUUGAGUGCAAAUGAGGUAGGCGGAAUGUGUUGUGUAGCGGUGAAAUGCUUAGAUAUAACACAGAACUCCGAUUGCGAAGGCAGCUUACUGGGAUGCAACUGACACUGAUGCACGAAAGCGUGGGUAUCAAACAGGAUUAGAUACCCCUGUAUCC
rnacentral:rRNA from 1 species